AUGGGUUUCAUGAGAGCUGCGGUGUCCGAAGAAAGCAGUGGAAGGGAGCUGGUGAGAAGGCAGACAGAUUCAGGAGGUCUGCAAGCUCCCAGGGGAAGCCGAUGCUGUUGGCCUUGGACACGCUUGAGCAGGGUCCUGGGGACGGACGCACUGGACACAAGGCUGGCAUUUACCCCCGUGCCAGGAGUUUGGGACGGAAACUUCCUUAGGCCUGCCACCUGCACCACCCUGCCUCGUAUGGAAUCCCAUUGCCCUGUCCCCACCUCAACAGGCACAGUCUCAAUUCCCAGCUCCAGGGGACCUCUGAGAGAAAGAAAACUCCCGGCAGAAAUAGCCACAUUUGCUUAUGGCCUGUUUGUUCAUUUAUCUGCUCUUCUGGAAACUAAGAAGCCCUUAUUUUUAGCACCUCCCAUGCUGAAGCAUGGAUUUUUUUUUUUCCUUCAAGCUCUCUUAAAAAGUUGA
rnacentral:lncRNA from 1 species